GACGAACGCUGGCGGCGUGCUUAACACAUGCAAGUCGAACGGAAAGGCCCUGCUUUUGUGGGGUGCUCGAGUGGCGAACGGGUGAGUAACACGUGAGUAACCUGCCCUUGACUUUGGGAUAACUUCAGGAAACUGGGGCUAAUACCGGAUAGGAGCUCCUGCUGCAUGGUGGGGGUUGGAAAGUUUCGGCGGUUGGGGAUGGACUCGCGGCUUAUCAGCUUGUUGGUGGGGUAGUGGCUUACCAAGGCUUUGACGGGUAGCCGGCCUGAGAGGGUGACCGGCCACAUUGGGACUGAGAUACGGCCCAGACCUCUACGGGAGGCAGCAGUGGGGAAUAUUGCACAAUGGGCGGAAGCCUGAUGCAGCAACGCCGCGUGCGGGAUGACGGCCUUCGGGUUGUAAACCGCUUUCGCCUGUGACGAAGCGUGAGUGACGGUAAUGGGUAAAGAAGCACCGGCUAACUACGUG
rnacentral:rRNA from 1 species